GACGAACGCUGGCGGCGUGCCUAAUACAUGCAAGUCGAACGCAGUGGGGACGGGUGAGUAACACGUGGGUAACCUCCCAUCAGAGGGGAUAACACUUGGAAACAGGUGCUAAACCGAUACUGAUGGAUGGACCCGCGGUGCAUUAGCUAGUUGGUGAGGUAACGGCUCACCAGGGCCACGAUGCAUAGCCGACCUGAGAGGGUGAUGAGCCACACUGGGACGGAGACACGGCCCAGAGUCCUACCAUGUACAUCAGGAUUAAAUCUUCGGCAAUGGACGAAAGUCUGACCGAGCAACGCCGCGUGAGUGAAGAAGGUUUUCGGAUCGUAAAACUCUGUUGUUAUAGAAGCGGUAUCUAACCAGAAAGCCACGGCUAACUACGUGCAAGCAGCCGCGGUAAUAC
rnacentral:rRNA from 1 species